CAUGAUUAACAUAUAGCGUUAAUGCACCGAAUCCCAUUAGAACUUCACAAUUAAGCGCACUCGAGCUAGAGUAGUACUGUGAUGGGUGACCGCCCGAUAAGUCCUAGUGUUUUGCAUGC
rfam:Picea glauca, whole genome shotgun sequence.